AUGAAGCUGGAAUUGCUAGUAAUGGCAGGUCAGCAUACUGCCGUGAAUACGUUCCCGGGCCCUUGUACACACCGCCCGUCACACCAUGAGAGUUGGGAAUACCCGAAGCCUGUGAGCUAACUUUUUAAGAGGCAGCAGUCGAAGGUAGAAUCAAUGAUUGGGGUGAAGUCGUAACAAGGUAAC
rnacentral:rRNA from 1 species